UUUUUUUCACUUUGCUUUUUUUUUUUUUUUUUUUUUUUUUUGCGAGCUGGCCGGGCUGCUGUGCGUGCACGCUGGACACACGGGUGCUGGUGUCCCUUUGUGCUUUACUGAAGAGAAUGUGGAAGCUUGUUGCCUUAUUUUGUCACCUUCACCCAUCAACUUCAUUUUCCAAACGCAAGGAUCUUUGCCAGCACGCACAGCGUCCUGCAUGUGUGUGUGUGUGUGAGUGAGUGGAUGUGUGCGCGCGUGUGUGUGUAUGCGUGUGCAUUUGUGUAUAUAUAUAUAAAAAAGAGAGAGUAAUAUUUAUGAAUCUAUUUUUUUCCUAUUUUGUGAUGAGAGCUAUUGAUAAGAAACAAAAAGAAAACAAAGUCCUUUUUCUUUUUUUUUUCCUCAGUGGGACACUGCCAUAUUAUUUUGAAGGGAAGCAUUUAUUUUCUUGAAAUCUAGACUAUGAAUAAUUCUGAUAAUAAUAAUAAUAAUAUAACGUAAAAACCUGAAAAAUAGGAGAACAGUCAAGUCAGUGACCGUGUUAACUUUGGUCAUGAUGUGAACAGUGCGCAUGUCAGUAUUGUGAUCUACCUCAGGCUUCAGGGUACCUCAGUCCAAUCUUUCAUUUCCCCCCUUUUUCCACAUUUUGUAUGCCUUGUUAACCUUGUUGAUCAUUUUGAGAGUUUUUUUUUUUUAAUUUUAUUUUUAAUAAUAAGAAAAAAAAUAGAUCCGGUUAAAAGAUCUACAGUAAUCUCUAAGCUUUGUCAGGUCCAGCUGACUAGUGAAACUUUGUAGUCAACUCUGUUGGAUUGUCUUUGCCUGGACGCUAAACAACCUCUUAAUGAUAAACAUGUCAAAGGAUUUUUUCCAAGUCCAUUUCUGCCAGAAAGGAAUGAAGUGCAGGAUCUAACGGGGUACAUACCUGACCGAGUGCUUCUGAACGUGGAUGUUGUGUACUGACUUCACCGUCACAAAUGAAAUGAAAAGACGGAAAAAGUUUCAAAUCGGUUUCAAGAAACAGACCUAAGCCAACUGUACCUCCUGUUUUUCCAAGCGCCCAGCCAGCACUUAUAUUUGGGACCUAUGUUUGGGUUUGUCCUACCUGGGCCCAGGUGUGGGUGUAGACCAAAUGCAUCUUCUAGGAUUGUAGUCCAGUCUUCAAGGUUCAAAUCCAAGUCACUGAAAAACACAACAUUUAGGUCAAGUGAUAGUCAGUUCCCCAGGAUUUUAAGUCAGUCAAAGAAAUCGAUUGGGUUUGGACCGAGUUGACUCGACAUCGUGUCAAGUCUGUGUCUAAGUCAUACAAGAAAAUUGGAGAAAGUCUUGGCUGCAAUUUGCAGAUUGUUGGAGUACGAGUUACAGUCGCUGAAGAAAAAUGUGAGGUUGUGUCAAAGUUAAGGUCCUAGUUUGACAUGAAUACCCAAGUCGCAGAAAAGUGUUUGGGGUCGAGUCCGAGACGAGUCUCUUGAAUUUGAGUUAGCGUUACGAAUGAGGAUUCAUUUGAGAAUGAGUUUGAGACCCUAUAAAAAUGUAGAUUGAGCCAGAAUAGAGACACAGAGACAGUAGAGUCUCUAGGGCUUCAGGUCCGAGUCCAAGUCAGGACCGAGUCCAAGUCUCCAAACAUGACUUAAAUCUGUGUUCAGUCCUGUUUUAGCUGAAAGUCUGAAUCACAACAGAGAUGUUUGAGACGAGUGAAGUUGUUACUUUUGACUCAGAUCUCAGUAAGUUUUGUGUGUGAGUCCAACUCUGAGGUGUUUGACUCAGUUCUUAGCUAUAAGGAGUUAGUUUAUGGACACUGACUUAGAGCCCAAACCAGCCCACGUAAGGCCCAGAUGGACAUGCUGGCUGGGAACUGUACCUCCAGGUUUUUGAGACAGAAAAACAAUGUUGUUUAUUCACUUGUUUAACAUAAAUAAAUAAAUAAAAAUAACUAAGAAAAAAGACAGAAAUUUUAUAACCACCCGGUCUGACCUUACCAGCUCUAUUUGAUAACUCUGGGGUUGAUUUCAAGAAAAACACAAAGCUGCAAAAAUACACUGACGGGACUCUUUCGAAACGUUGUUAAAUCCUCAUCCUCUGUGUACAAUGUAGAAACAACUUUAGUCGUUGAAAUGUCACUGUGUACGACAACGAGGAGAACUGUAUAUCUGUAAACAUGUACAAUAGUGUCACACAUGAAUGCAUUGUGUUCUGUCGCUCCAUAACAACACUUACCCGUCUGCUCCUGCAUCGUGGGAGAUGGUGGGAGACGUUUAGAGAGCGUCACGGCUUCCCUCAAAACUGACCCUCUAAAUGUUUAUCUCACACAUGUAGAGUUUUGAUUUUUUUUUUUUUUUUUUAAUUUGUGCUGUACGUUUUAGAAUUACCUCUCAGAAUCCAAGGCUGACGUUAGAUACUAAAAACAAUGUAGGGCAAAGUAGAACAUGAAUAAAUGAAUGGUGUUGUAGUGAAAGUUAGUGUUUUGUCUGGAGUUUUUUUUUAACUCCUCUAGAGCUGAUUUCUUUUUUUUUUAAUUAUUAUUACUUUAUUUUUAGAGGGCAGGCUUUUGUCAUCAGAUGAGGUGGCUCAUUGUCGUCCCAGUGAACACACUUUUGCAGUUACACCAAUCAUAACGGUCGUAUUAAACUCACAAAGUCUGGGGGCUCUUCCUCCUUACAGCCAGUACAGUACCUCAUACUGAUGACAACAGCUCAGCAGACCUGACGAAAACACCCCCGACCUUACCCCCCCACUCCUCCACCAACGUAGUACGGUGCUUCUACUGCCACCUCGUGGCUCCUGUGGUGGUGUGCUUCACUGUUAUAGACAAAUGUUGAAUAAAAACAGCCUUUCACAGUAGCACUGGAGAGAAAACUUUGUCCAUCGUCGUUUGUUUCUUCUUAGACCAUUGUUGCAGUCGAGGCUCUUCUCUUGCAUUGUCUCUCUCUCUCGUGUUUUUUUUUUUUUAGAAUAAAGUGCAGCUUUGCCUCUCGCUGGUUCUGGUUUGGCAGCAGUGCUGAGGUCAAACCUGUCCAGAUGGUGGUAAACAAUUAUUUUAGAGAAUUAUUGUUUCUAGUUUUUGUUGGGUGUUUUGCUAGGCAUCAAAAUGAAAAGUCAACGCCAGAAAUAAAAACAACAAUCAUACGCAUCGCUGAGAGUGUACAGUGUUGUUAGUCAAAUCACACAGUGGUUGCAUAGUUGAGGCUUUUUCCUCUGUUUUUCUGUUGAUCUGGUUUCCUUGUGGCACUCACCGACUUAAGGGACACCUUAAGUCUGCUGCAGUAGAUGGGAAUUUUUACUCCAAUACUCAUUCCUGUUUGAUCACUACCAGUAACGCUAGCUGUUGAGUUGUGGAUAAAACACGUUCUGUCUCUGUUUUUAACACAUUUGUGGAAGUCAGAAUGGAGAAGCAGAAUCAAAUAGUGAAUAAUUCAAGUAGAAAUGUCUGUUUGUUUGACAAUAUCCAGGUCUCCAAAUAAGAAUUGAUCUUACACAGAGGGCAUUAAAAAAGCCAUGCAAAAAUAAAUAUGAGGAGGAAUUUAGUACAAAUCUGGUGAAAUGUGUCACAUGUUUAACAUGACACUGUUGUAGGUGAUCCUCGAUGUAUUAACACUUCAUAGAUUACAGAUCAGUUUCCAAAUUGUUUUUGACCAUAGGGAAACCUUUUCUAUCCUCACUAGGUCAGAACUCUCAAUUUCUACAUUUCGGACCAAACAAAGGUCCCGGACACCUCAAGGUAACUGAUGACUGUGAGCUGCAAUGACAUUUGAUCCCUGUUUAAUACAUCCAUGUGGAUCCAUGCCUUUGUGGACACAGCCAUGCUGUUGUUUUAAAUUGUGAUUGAACUGUAUUGCUGAGCAACCUGGAUCUGAGCAAUAAAGACUCUUUGAAAGAA